AAUACUCCCUCCGUCCUAUAAAAAAACCAACCUAGUACCGGAUGUGACACAUCCUAGUACUACGAAUCUGGACAUACAUAUGUCCAGAUUCAUCGUACUAGAAUAUGUCACAUCCGGUACUAGAUUCGUUUUUUAUGGGACGGAGGGAGU
rnacentral:misc_RNA from 1 species